UUCGUUCACUAGGGGCGGCCCAUGAAUAACCGGGCCUGAGAGAGAACCCUCUGAACCUGAUCAGGACAAUCGCCGAAUCGGCGUCGAUGCCUGCGUAGGAAAGUGAUUGGCAAAAUUA
rnacentral:ncRNA from 2 species